rnacentral:lncRNA from 1 species
AGCAUGUCCUUUGAAGAAGGUAUGGGACUAUAUAAAUAGGCAUGCAAUGCAGCUCCAUGUAUGCAUGGCAGUUCACAAGCCACGCCUAGUGCCUUACAGUUUAGCUAGAUGAUGAGAAUGUUAAUGACUAAGGUUGAGAGAUAGAUGGAGGAGAGGGGAGACCUUGCAUGGUGAUAAGGGCUGAUCAUCCUGGUAGCCAAGGAUGACUUGCCUGUGGCCUCCCUCGCUCGCUUGCAUUUUGGUGGAGCAGGCAGGCAACUGAUCUCAUAGGCAGUCUCCUUGGCUAGCCUGGACGGUUCUUAUCCUUCAUGCUAGGCCUUCACCACUUCGAUACCUUUUCUUUUUCAAAAUUAUCAAGAAGAACUGCGUGUCUAAUAUAUAUGGUUUUGUUUUUAACUCCCUCAGUCCCCAUGAUGUGGGUGCUCACUACAUUCAUGAAGACCUUGGAUCACAUCUAGCUUCUCAGUCUGAGAGGAAAAAUGCGAAAAAUGGAAGAGUUUGAGGCCUUUGAGGGUGUUUUUACUCUGUUUGCCAAUUGAUGAACUGACACUAUAGUUUGUUUUUUUUUGAAAGAAACAGCGAGGGAAACCCCCACUGUGGAACUGACACUAUAGUACUGCCAUUGCAUGAUAUUUUAUUGGUGUGCACAGCUAAGCUCGCUACAUAUAUAUCCAUCCUGCACUGAUUGAAGGAGAAAGCAGUCAUCGUCCAUUAUCUGGUGAUCAUACAUCAGGAGAGGCCAUAUGAUCAGUUGAUAGUUGUUUGCUCUAGUACUCUAUAUGCAAGCCAUUGCCACCCUUGUGAUUUCUACAGUAUUUCAGAAGUGCUAGCCUUGCGUAUAUCCUGCACUUAUCUGACCUCUAAACGAGUUCUAUAUAUUAGCAUGUAUGUAUAUGUAUCAUCAGUCAGGCUGUGCACAACAAGCUUACAUGCAUGUAUACGAUGUAUGAUUUCUGAAGUUCCAGUGACAACUCAAUGGAAGUUAGUUCCUUUCUGAAGUUUCUCAUGUUCUCAUGUGAUGCUAGCUUUUAUGUUCUCUCCUUGUUAACAUUGUGUGACACAAAAUACAGAAACACACUUGCAUCAGCCAGCAGAGUGGCACAAGAAAAUUAACAAGCUGGUUUCAGCUUAUAACUAACCAAUUAAAAGUUAGUUGUCAAUCCUUUUGGAACUAUUCUACACCAUACAACAUCUCUAAGAGUUUUUCACCAGGAAUAUAAAUAAAUAAAAAUGACUAAAAAUAAC